CAGUAGCCACGGUAAUACGGAGGGCGCGAGCGUUACCCGGAUUUACUGGGCGUAAAGGGCGUGUAGGCGGCCUGGGGCGUCCCAUGUGAAAGGCCACGGCUCAACCGUGGAGGAGCGUGGGAUACGCUCAGGCUAGAGGGUGGGAGAGGGUGGUGGAAUUCCCGGAGUAGCGGUGAAAUGCGCAGAUACCGGGAGGAACACCGCUGGCGAAGGCAGCCACCUGGUCCACUUCUGACGCUGAGGCGCGAAAGCGUGGGGAGCAAACCGGAUUAGAGACCCCAGUAGUCCCUGUCUCUUAUAC
rnacentral:rRNA from 1 species